UACGGAGGGGGCAAGCGUUGUUCGGAAUUACUGGGCGUAAAGCGUGCGCAGGCGGCCCGUUAAGACAGGUGUGAAAUCCCUGGGCUCAACCUAGGAAUUGCGCUUGUGACUGGCGGGCUCGAGUACGGUAGAGGGGGGUGGAAUUCCUGGUGUAGCAGUGAAAUGCGUAGAGAUCAGGAGGAACACCGAUGGCGAAGGCAGCCCCCUGGGCCUGUACUGACGCUCAUGCACGAAAGCGUGGGGAGCAAACAGG
rnacentral:rRNA from 1 species